rnacentral:rRNA from 1 species
GACGAACGCUGGCGGCGUGCUUAACACAUGCAAGUCGAGCGGUAAGGCCCUUUCGGGGGUACACGGGCGGCGAACGGGUGAGUAACACGUGGGUGACCUGCCCUCAGCUCUGGGAUAAGCCUGGGAAACCGGGUCUAAUACCGGAUAUGACUCCAUGACGCAUGUUGUGGGGUGGAAAGCCUUGUGCGGCUGAGGAUGGGCCCGCGGCCUAUCAGCUUGUUGGUGGGGUGANGGCCUACCAAGGCGACGACGGGUAGCCGGCCUGAGAGGGCGACCGGCCACACUGGGACUGAGACACGGCCCAGACUCCUACGGGAGGCAGCAGUGGGGAAUCUUGCGCAAUGGGCGAAAGCCUGACGCAGCGACGCCG